GCCUGGAUAGCCCAUUUGGUUAGAGCAUUGUACUGGUAAUGCCAAGGUUGCAGGUUCAAUCCCCGUAUGGGGCA